rnacentral:misc_RNA from 1 species
GAAAUGCGAUAAGUAAUGUGAAUUGCAGAAUUCAGUGAAUCAUCGAAUCUUUGAACGCACAUUGCGCCCGCCAGCACUCUGGCGGGCAUGCCUGUUCGAGCGUCAUUUCAACCCUCAGAACCCCUUGCGGGAUCUGGCGUUGGGGAUUGGCAUCCAGCCAGCCCCGAAAUCUAGUGGCGGUCCCUCCGCGACCUCCCCUGUGCAGUAGCGAUACCUCGCAGCGGGACAGCGGUCUGACCACGCCGUAAAACCCCCAACUUCUCAAGGUUGACCUCGAAUCAGGUACAAAUGCCCGCUGAACAUACGC